rnacentral:rRNA from 1 species
GUGAACGCUGGCGGCGUGCCUAAUACAUGCAAGUCGAACGGACGAGUAAGAGCUUGCUCUUAUGAGUUAGUGGCGCACGGGUGAGUAAUGUAUAGCUAAUCUGCCCUACACUAGAGGACAACAGUUGGAAACGACUGCUAAUACUCUAUACUCCUCUUUAACAUAAGUUAGAUAGGGAAAGUUUUUCGGUGUAGGAUGAGGCUAUAUUGUAUCAGCUAGUUGGCGAGGUAAUGGCUCACCAAGGCUAUGACGCAUAACUGGUCUGAGAGGAUGAUCAGUCACACUGGAACUGAGACACGGUCCAGACUCCUACGGGAGGCAGCAGUAGGGAAUAUUGCUCAAUGGGGGAAACCCUGAAGCAGCAACGCCGCGUGGAGGAUGACACUUUUCGGAGCGUAAACUCCUUUUGUUAGGGAAGAACAA